rnacentral:lncRNA from 1 species
GGAGCGGCCGGGGUGCGCGGUAAAGAUGGGGCGGCGCGGCCGGGGCUCGCCAGCACCAGCCCUGGAACCCCAUGGGGGACCUCGACAACAGCGCCUUUGCGGCGUGGGCCCCUUUCUGCAGCUCCUCCACCCGCGCGCUGUCGGCUCCGGGACACUGGGGCUUUGAAGGGCGCCAGUUCCCAGCCGCACCUGCACGCCUAGGAGGGCGCAGGCCGCGUGUCCCUGUGGGAGGAAGGCCCCGGCAACCUGCAAAGACCUCACGUCACAGAAACUUGCGGCGUUUGCCCCCGAUGCGCGCGUCAGGUGCUCCGUCCCUUCCAGGUGGCAGAGGAGAGGGAAGGGUCGCGCCUGGUGGGGGCCUGAGAGCCACCGGGCUGCGGUGCGCGAGUGUGGACACCGCCCCGCCUUCUGCGUCUACAGCCCUGGGUUCUGGGACCUUUGGAAACCGCUUUGGACGAAGCUGAGCAUCUCUUUCCCCACGCUGACCUCCCCCAUAGACUCCGGAUGGGAGUAAAUGAGGCUCCUGGGAAAUCCAGAAACUCUAGAGAAGCUUGUUUGCCAAACCUUGCUUUGGGCGGUGGAGACAGAAUAUCAUGUCCCAGAUCAGCGUGUGGUGACUGUGGAGGCAUUUACACACAGCACACUCCAGCUCUGCCACUGGGCCGGCUGAGGUGGCUGCGGUACACGGCGCCCAUCCUGAGCCCCAGGUUCCUCACAUGUCAACAGCAUGAAAAGUGCCUCUAAGACAUCCACAGGUGUGCAGUGUUAAAGCAGGAUUCUGCCAUGAUUGCCACCUCUGGAGACGUCACAGCCAGCACAGCCAUGACCAGGGAUGAACUUGGCCAUUGUCCAGCAGCACCAUGGGAGGACCAGCUGCUGUAAGUGAAGGUCAUCAUCCAUCUGAUUUGCUGGCUUUUUGCAACUACUGCGGUGGAAGUCUUAGAGUAGCCACCUUCUCUGUACUCAGACCUUCACUUCGCCAGAUGUCAGCACAGCAGUGUCAGCAGCUUCGUCAAACACAAACACCACCACCUCUCUGGAUCAGAAGCACAUGGAAAGCCCACCUUGCAAGAAGACCCAGCUAUUCCAAAAGUACCCAUAUCCCUGUAGCAUCCUCUUAGCUGAAUGUCUCUACUCCUUAAACUUGUACCACUUUGAAGAGUAAAAAUUUAAAUUCAUUCAUAUUAUCAUUUUUUAGUUUUUAGUAUAAGUGGAGCUGUUUAUCGGCCAUUUGUAUGUCCUUUUCUUUUUUUUGCAAAUUACUCCUUUGCCAAAUUUUCUCUCAAAUGACUCAUCUUUUUCUUAUUGAUUUGCAGAAGCUAUUUACAUAUUAUGGAUGUGGGGUGUCUAACAUACACAGCAAAUACUUUGUCCCAGUGUGUCACUUUUUAAAAAAAUUCUUAUAAUGUCUUUCAUCUUUAAAAAAUUAUUAAGCUAUUGUGAGCUUUUAUGCCUUUUCAGUUUAUUUUCUUACAUAGAUAAUUAUAUGAAGUGCAAAUAGGGGCAGUGUUAGUCUCAUCUUCCCAAGGCUGCACCUCAGAUGUGGAAUGUUGACAGCAACAUCUGUUACCUUGUUUCUGUUUUUAGGAUUUUAGCGUUAAGGCCAGGCAUAAUGGUUCAUGCCUGUAAUUCCAGCACUUUGGGAGGCCGAGGUGGGCAGAUCACUUGAAGCCAGGAGUUCAAGACCAGCCUGGCCAACAUGGAGAAACCCUCUCUAUUUUUAAAUACAUUUAAAAUGUUAACAAUUAAAACAAAAUAUUUUACCGUUAGUAUGAUGCUUGAUACAGGAUUUCUGGUACAUACGCCUUAUCAAAUUAAAUAAGUUUCCUUUUACUCUUGUUUAUUGUUAUUUUUUAAAAUAAGGAAUGAAUCUUGGAUUUUAGUGUAUCAAUAAUUAUAUUUUAUUCUUUAACUUCAUAAUAUUCCUUAUAAUUCCUUAUGUCAUAUUAAAGAUGUAAAUUCAUAUAUAUUUUAUCAUACAAAUGAUUAAUAAAUGUAUAAGCAUGUCAUUAUAUGAGAGUAUACUUCCUUAUGUUUCAUGAAUGCAUCGUGACAGGCUCAUUUUUUUAAUCACUGCUCGAUUUGUGCCACUGAUGUUUUAUGAGGCCUAUUUAUGUCGGCGAUGGUAAGAGUGUUAGUGUUUCCUCUGUGGGUACCUUCAUCUACCGUGAGUCUCCUGGAUAUGCUAGCAUCACAGAAUGGCAGGCGGAAAUUUCCAGCUUUUUCUAUAGAAUGAGUUUAACACAGAAAAUAGAUCUUUCUUGAAAAUGUGGUAACACUUACCUGGAAACCUCCCUGGCCUAGUGCCUCUUUUCUUGGGGCUAAAGGGUAUGAAAAUGGGUAGAUCUCCAAAUGCCUUUUCCAUUUUUCUAUGAAUAUUAUUCCUACUCAGGCUUUUCUCUUCUUGGAACAAUGCUGCUAACUUGUGCCUACUUGGCUAUUUCUACUUCAUGUAUAUUUUCAAAUCCAUUGGUGUGCAAGUGGACUUAGUAUGUUCUUGCAAGCGUAAGAGUCUCCAUUAGUGUAAUGACCUUCUCUCUUUCUGUUUUCCUUGAGCAAUUAACAUAUAUUUGUCUUAUUUUAUUGGUCUUCUCAAAAGAAUAUGCUUUUGAGUUAUUGAUCACCUGUACCAUGUGUUCUAUCACACUAUUCUGUGUUUACUCAAGCUCGUUAAUUGAUAUUCAAAUCCCUGUAUUUUGUCAAUUUCUG